AUGGCGGCGGCCAAGCCCAUCCUGUACGGCGCCUGGAUCAGCUCUUGCUCUCACCGUGUCCGGAUCGCUCUCAACCUCAAAGGUGUGGACUAUGAGUAUAAGGCAGUCAAUCCUCGGACAGAUCCAGACUAUGAAAAAAUAAACCCGAUCAAAUACAUACCAGCAUUGGUAGAUGGGGACUUUGUUCUAUCUGAUUCUCUCGCUAUCAUGUUGUAUCUGGAGGAUAAGUAUCCUCAGCAUCCUCUCGUACCUAAAGAUAUCAAAACGAAAGGUCUUGAUCUUCAGAUUGCGAACAUAGUUUGCUCAAGCAUCCAACCUCUCCAAGGCUACGGCGUAAUUGGUUUACAUGAGGGUAGGUUGAGCCCCGAUGAGAGCCUUGAGGUGGUUCAACGUUAUAUUGACAAGGGCUUCAGAGCAAUCGAAAAGCUUUUGGAUGGAUGUGACAGCAAAUAUUGCGUUGGAGAUGAAGUCCAUUUGGUUUGUGUUUCUGAACCUACACACUUCUUCACUGAUACAUGUUUGAUGCUUUGCCUUGAUCAGUCACCUCGAAAUGAACUUCCAAGUCAACAUGAUCAAAUUGAUUCCGGACUCCCAAUUUCCUUAAUUAGCAUGUCACUAUUAUUACUAAAUGUGCUAGUACUUACUAAUCUUGAGCUAUAUAUUCUGAUACAUGUACAUUCGUGGCCUUGGCAGGGAGAUGUGUGUCUAGCCCCACAGAUCCAUGCCGCCAUCAAUCGCUUCCAGAUUGAUAUGACGAAGUACCCAAUAUUGUCGCGACUUCACGACGCAUACAUGAAAAUUCCGGCAUUUCAAGCUGCACUGCCCCAGAAUCAGCCAGAUGCACCUUCAGCAAAAUAA
rnacentral:rRNA from 1 species